UAUUCUUCUUCUUCUUCUUCUUCAUCUUUGUCCUUUUUCGCUUCUAGUUCUCUGCAACAAUAACACUUACAGUUUGACACAACAAGAAUUGUGUGAUCUCUUUAAUUCGUUAUCAUGGUAAUGGCUUCCCCGCCGGACACCAGCAAGACAAUAAAGCUGGAGCGCUACAACAGCUACCUCCGCCGAGUCAACAGCACCAAGCUCAUCAACGCCUCCUCCAAGCUCCUCUUCCGCGUCACCCUCCUCGUCGCAUUAGUCCUCAUCUUCUUCUUCACUCUUAACUACCCUCCGCUUUCCUCCUCCUCCGACCAGAACGGCUCCCACCGCCUCCACAACACCAACUUCCUCUCCUCCGCCUUCUACGGCGGCGGAGUCGGCGGCACCGCCUGGGAGAAGCAGGUCCGCCACUCCUCCACUCCCAAGCGGCCCAACGGCAUGUCGGUGCUCGUCACCGGCGCCGCCGGGUUCAUCGGGUCCCACUGCUCGCUGGCGCUGAAGAAGCGCGGCGACGGCGUGUUGGGCUUGGACAACUUCAACUCGUACUACGACCCGUCGUUGAAGCGUGCGAGGCAAGCGAUGCUGAAGAAGCACGAGAUUUUCAUCGUGGAGGCGGACUUGAACGACGGCCCGAUGCUCACUAAGCUCUUCGACGUCGUACCGUUCACCCACGUGCUCCACUUGGCGGCGCAGGCGGGUGUACGGUACGCCAUGCAGAACCCCCAGUCCUACGUGGCGUCCAACAUUGCCGGCUUCGUUAAUCUUCUCGAGAUUUCCAAAGCCGCAAAUCCUCAACCGGCGAUCGUCUGGGCCUCCUCCAGCUCGGUCUACGGCCUCAACACCGAGAAUCCCUUCUCCGAGCUCCACAGAACCGACCAGCCGGCAAGUCUCUACGCUGCAACAAAAAAAGCCGGAGAGGAAAUAGCGCACACUUACAACCAC
rnacentral:lncRNA from 1 species